CCUACCUGAGUCUCCACCGGACACAGCGCGCGGAGCAGAGGCGACAUACACCGCCAAAACACACGCCACCGUCGCUCCCGUCAGUGUCCAAGUCAACUUGUCCGACGACAUUUCAGACGUCUUCGAAGGAAAUGCCUGCUGACUACAGUGCAGAGAAGACACCAGAAAACCACAGUAUUUUAAGAGCAAAGGCAUCAUGCUAAACGUACCUGGAACAUGUCUGUGUCUUUGUCAUGGCUGUACUCCACCACCACCGUCUGGUUUCUGGACAGCGUGUAGGAGAUGCUGUGCUGGCCCUUACAGUUCACCGCCUGUCACAACACAACAGAAG